CUCCGCCGCCCAGGGGCCGUCGCGCAAGAGGCGCGGUGCGUAGCUAACGGGCCCGGCAAGCGCGGGAGGGGCCGUCGCCCAAGGGCGGCGGGGCGCGGGCUGGCCUCACGCGUCAGCUAAGCGCCGGGCGCCGCCGGAGAAAACAUACUGAUUGGUCCGACGCCCUGAUUGGCGGGACGCACUGAUUGGCUGGGUGUCCGGCAGCAGGGCGGGGAGGGGCAGCUUCCGUCCGGAGUUCCCGGAGCGGCCCCAGCUGGGACCCUAAAGCAAGAGUACACCUGAGCUUCUCGUCCCGGGAGACUGAUGCCUCUCCUGCACUUGGCCCUACGGAGUAAGACGGCGGGACUACUGGGCUCCGAGAUCUCUGGUUUUUACACCCACGGGCCCUCACCGCGACCGUGGUUCCACUGUCUCUAUCUUACGUAGCCCCGCUAGGCAAAGGGACAGACCCUGCACCCCCAUCGACAUUUCACUUCAAGCCUUAGCUUUGCAGUUUGAGGCAACUGGGUGCAGUCCUGUUUUGUCACUUCCUGGUUCCCGAGGCUGGACAAAGUAGUUCAUCCUUGUAUUCUCUCCCCAACAGCGCCUGCCUAUGGCACCCAUUUAGGACACACCCCUGAAGUGCAUUCACUGCUGAUCAGAGUCUUUCACCCCUUAUUGUCUGUGACCUAGAACUCAGGGAGCUGAGGCAGAAGGAUUGCCAUAAGUUCAAGCCAGCCUGAACUACAGAGAUCCUGUCUGAAAAAUUAAUAUAUAAUUUUAUACAUAGAUUAGAUACGGAUAUAUAUACAUACAUACACCUAAGUGUGAUGGUGCAUGUCUGUAACCCAGGUCAGCCAAGACUAUAGAGUGAGACCCUGUCUCAAAGGAAACGACAGCUUUGUGGGACUAGAACUCAGUACUUUGCCUUUUCCAGGUGACUAAAUUCAAAUGGAAUUAAAUUGUUAUUCAACUAAGCUUUAUGGUAUUUCCAAACACUUUCCUUUGGAGUCAUAGAAGUUCUCCCCUGCCCCGUUAGGAUUUAUUAGAAGGGGUUUUGGUGUUUGUUCUUAAAGGUAAGAUCUUAUUCCAUAAACUGGGUUUAAACUCAACAACCUCUGCCUCAAUCUGCAAGUGUUGGGUUAAUGGAUUUAAAUGAGGAAAGAGAGAAAAUUUGGCCCCAGUGGGUGGGACAUUCUCAAAUGGCUCUCACUUCUAAUUUCAUUUUACACAAAGUUUGAUGUUAAUUCAGAUCAUCUUAAAACGUUUUGUGUGUAUAUAUUAAGUGUUUAUGUAUGAUGUCUGAAUGUGUGUACUCAUGUAUGUCAAGAACAGAGGUCAACAUCAAGUGUAUUGUUGUUGUUGUUCAACUGCUACCAUAUUUGUAUAGUAUGUGUGUGGACACACAUGCUCAUUGGGAAGCCAACUAUUAACAGCUCCCAUAAUGUGUGUGUGUGUGUGUGUGUGUGUGUGUGUGUGUUGUGUGUGAAGUUCGCAGGUGGACUCACCUGUGUUUGUGUGUAUAAAGAACAGAGGUUAACAUCUGGCAUCUUCAUACAUCACACUGAACCAAGAUCUUGGUUAGAUGGUGUCCAUCAAACUCCUGAGAGCCACAUGUCCUGUGCUGUGUCCCCUCCCCUCUCCCUGGCAGUGUAAGGACACUGCAGCAUCUACAGAAAGACCACUGCAACUGUGCCUGAAACACUGUUCUGGCUGUGAGAAUGUCAAGUUGUCUGUUGGGGCCUUGGGGAGCAGCUCUCCUAAAGUGCAGAGUGCACUCUAGAAGAUAGUGAAGACAUCUCGGAGCUAAGAGAACUGCCUCCUUGCUAUUCUGCUGGGUCCACCACUCCAUGCAACAUGAAUACAGGGUUUCUCCUCCACUGUAUGCACCAGGAUCGUCGUCCAGUGAGUUUACAGUCUGCCUGCUUUCUUAUGAGAAGAGAGCAUGAGUAAUGAUGACCCCACUGGCCUGCCUGCCAGGCCUUGGCAUUUGUCCUGGAGACUCAAGUCACAUCUUCGAAUGAAGGAGCUGGGGACUGAACCUAGGGCCUUGCAAGCACUC
rnacentral:sRNA from 1 species